rnacentral:rRNA from 1 species
UGGGGAAUAUUGGACAAUGGGGGCAACCCUGAUCCAGCCAUGCCGCGUGAGUGAUGAAGGCCUUCGGGUUGUAAAGCUCUUUUGGCGGGGACGAUGAUGACGGUACCCGCAGAAUAAGCCCCGGCUAACUUCGUGCC